rnacentral:rRNA from 1 species
CAGCCGCCACGGGAAUACGUAGGGUGCGAGCGUUAAUCGGAAUUACUGGGCGUAAAGCGUGCGCAGGCGGUUGUGUAAGACAGGUGUGAAAUCCCCGGGCUUAACCUGGGAACUGUGCUUGUGACUGCACGGCUAGAGUAUGGCAGAGGGGGGUGGAAUUCCACGUGUAGCAGUGAAAUGCGUAGAGAUGUGGAGGAACACCGAUGGCGAAGGCAGCCCCCUGGGCCAAUACUGACGCUCAUGCACGAAAGCGUGGGGAGCAAACAGGAUUAGAUACCCCCGUAGUCCCUGUCUCUUAUAC